ensembl:miRNA
UACUUACCUUCAGGUCCCUGUUCGGGCGCCACUUGCCGCGGUCCAGCCACGACAGGAUCCAGGGGG